UACGUAGGGUGCAAGCGUUGUCCGGAAUUAUUGGGCGUAAAGAGCUCGUAGGCGGUCUGUCGCGUCGGCUGUGAAAACCCGGGGCUCAACCCCGGGCCUGCAGUCGAUACGGGCAGACUAGAGUGUGGUAGGGGAGACUGGAAUUCCUGGUGUAGCGGUGAAAUGCGCAGAUAUCAGGAGGAACACCGGUGGCGAAGGCGGGUCUCUGGGCCAUAACUGACGCUGAGGAGCGAAAGCCAGGGGAGCAAACGGG
rnacentral:rRNA from 1 species